rnacentral:misc_RNA from 1 species
UCCGAUUUGUCACCGGCAGUCUCCCAUGAGUCCCCGUCUUUCACGCUGGCAACAUGGGACAGGGGUUGCGCUCGUUGCGGGACCUAACCCAACAUCUCACGACACGAGCUGACGACAGCCAUGCAGCACCUGUCCUGGUUUCCGACUUUACGGAUGGGCAACCUUUUCGGGCGCCUACUUCCAGAAUGUCAAGCCUGGGUAAGGUUCUUCGCUUUGCAUCGAAUUAAGCAACGCGCUCCGCCGCUUGUGCGGGCCCCCGUCAAUUCCUUUGAGUUUCAACCUUGCGGUCGUACUCCCCAGGUGGGGUACUUCCUGCGUUAGCGCCGGCACCCAGAGGGUCGCUCCCCCAGGCACCUAGUACCCAUCGUUUACGGCGUGGACUAC